UGACUUUCAAGAUGUACAUAAAAAUUAGCAAAAUCACAUUAAAAAACAAAAGAAAAUAAAGAUAUUGAAACAUGAUUAUUUUAUUAAGAAAGCUUAAAGAACCUGCAACAUGUCAUAUGGUUUCAACAUAACAAAAGCUUUUGAGCUCUUGACAGAUGCGAGGAAAAUGUGCCUAUAAUCGAAGAAUCAAUCAUUUGUAAUAAGGAGUGCUACGAUACUGUAUCAGCCACUUCAAGUUGCUUAUGCAAAGUGAGUCAAACAACACAUAAUUAAUUAAUUAACAUAGUUAGAACAUAUUCAUUAUUUACACACAUAACAUAUCAAUGGUCUAACAAUUGCGGAGCAAGAAAUUUAUAUAAAAAAAGGCCAAUUUUUUUUGCUUUUGUUAUCAAAUUCACAAAAAUGAAACAUUUCGAUUUCAUCAUCUUCAUAAUUGGGUUUUCAUUUUUUGCAUAAUUGAUCGGAAUGUUUGACAACGGUAAAAAUGACAGAACAAAAUUUGUGAAUAAAAUUAUAGCACAUAAUUGGGUUUUAAUUUCACUGUCAUCUUCUUCAUAAUUGGGUUUUUAUUUUUUGCAUACAUUGAACUUUGUUAUUUGAAUGGCUAUCCAGCUUACUUAUGUGAAUUUUCAAGACCAAAUUACACACAGAGAUUACAAAUUCACAAAGUUUUUUCAUACUCAAUGUUCCUAUUUUGUUGUGCAUUCGUAUUUAUUCAAGGUGAUUAAGUAGUGUUAUAUGCAAACAGUCUUACAAUACUUCCACCACAAAACUAAGCAUUUUGAAUGUGUAUCAAAUAAGUACUUGAUUCGCAGCGAAAUAAUCUAAAGGAUUUUAAUGGUUUAAGAAGUUAGAUGUUUAGAGUUUUAGGGGUUCUCAUGAGAAGUAUUUAUUAAACCCAAUAAUCCACAUGUAUCUGACAACCUAUGAGUCACAUUAGAAUGAUAGCUAUCAUGCAAAGCAUUUGAUAAUACAUAUUUAUAGAAUUAGUAAGUUGUGUGCAUUUGAGUGAAUGGGUAUCAUAUUUGACCUCGGAUACAAAAUUAUAUUCUACUGGAAGAAGUAUUGUGCAAUUUUGUUAAAAUAAAUAAAAUAAUUUAAUAUUAGAACAAUGCCUGUAAUUCAAUACUAGAAUAAGGGUAAAUUGUCAAAAUGGUAUCUGAGAUUUUCAUAACUCAUCACUUUAGUCCCUAAGAUUCCAAAUCGAUAUAAGUGGUCACUGAGAUUGUCCACCAUCCAUCAUUUUAGUCAUUCCGUUAAAAACUCCGUUAAGUGUCCCGGAGAUCUUAACCGGAAGUUUGGGCAAUUUUCAAAGCUUCGUAACUCAAUCGUUUCUUAACCAAAUUCGACCCAUAAUAUAUCAAAAUGAAGAUAGGAAAGUGUAGAAUAAUAUUAUACCUAUUUCAAAGCCCAAUGGUUGUCUGAGAUGGCCAGAAAAUAGCCUCAAAGUUGACUGGUCCGAGUGAAAACUUGAAAACUCACCGGAAACUGGGUAAAUUUUACACGUUCAUAACUUCUUCAAUACUCAACGAAAUCAAGUGAUUCAAAAACGAAAAUCAUAAUUCUCGAUGAGACGAAGAGAAUGGUAUCUUUUUUUAUGGCUAACGCACCGUGGUUUGGCUGGAAAACAGCUCGAAAUUGUCUAACUUGAAAUCAAGACAGCCACUUUCGAUCCGUUUUCCUGCAAAACCAAGGCGAGUUGGCCAUUAAAAAAGGUAUUAUUCUCUUUGUCUCAUCGAUAUGUAUUAUUUUUGUUUUUGAAUCACUUGAUUUCGUUGAGUAUUGAAGAAGUUAUGAACGUUUAAAGUUUACCCAGUUUUCGGUGAGUUUUCAAGUUUUCACUCUGACCAAUCAACGUUUAGGCUAUUUUCAGGCAAUCUCCUGCAAUCAUUGGGCUUUAAAAUUGGUAUAAUCUUAUUCUACACUUUCCUAUUUUCAUUUUGAUAUAUUAUGGGUCGAAUUUGGUUAAGAAACGAUUGAGUUACGAAGCUUUAAAAAUUGCCCAAACUUCCGGCCAAGAGUUCCGGGACACUUAACGGAGUUUUUAAUGAAAGGACCAAAAUGAUGGAUGGUGGACAAUCUCAGGGACCACGUUUAUCGAUUUGGAAUCUCAGGGAUCAAAGUGAUGAGUUAUGCAAAUCUUAAGAACUAUUUUGGCGAUUUACCCUUGGAAUAAUGUCUUUAAACCAUGAUCAUUUAAUGUGGAGAAAUUGGAAGUUGAAAUAAGUUGAAAACGACAUUGGAUAGAGGAGAAAAUUCAAACAAUAUUGUGAUAAAAAUGGAACUCAGUUGUGAGUUCAAGAGAAAGAUCAAUGGAAAUGCCUCACAGACCAACUUGAAAGAAAACAUAUUGUUAAGUGAUUGUGCUAGGACUAGAAAAAUGCAAACUUUAUAUGGAAGAUGAAAAUUUACCUGCAUAGAGUGAGAGGGAGGAACAGAGAUGAAAAUGAGUGAUUAGUUAAAGCUAUAAUUUUUUAAGUAUGUUCUGCAAAUUGAAUCAUUUAGCUAUCGCAUUGACAUGCAUGAAAUGAACAAUAUGCAUAAAUGUGAUUAAAAUGACAAAUAUGCAAUAUCACCAAAUUCAUGAUUAUUAUCCAAAAUCUUUAAAGUAAACAUAAAAUCGAAUUAACACCUCUCUAUUUCUAAUCUAUCUCCCUAUUAUUUUGUAUUGAGAUAAGGUUUAUACUAAACGAUGUUUUCACCAAAAUUUAAUGAUAAAAAGACCACAAUAGAAGUUUAAUAUGAGUGAAAGAGUUGGCCUCUACCUCUAAU
rnacentral:lncRNA from 1 species